rnacentral:rRNA from 1 species
UACGUAGGGUGCAAGCGUUAAUCGGAAUUACUGGGCGUAAAGCGUGCGCAGGCGGUUUUGUAAGGCUGGUGGGAAAUCCCCGGGCUCAACCUGGGAAUUGCAUUGGAGACUGCAAGGCUAGAAUCUGGCAGAGGGGGGUAGAAUUCCACGUGUAGCAGUGAAAUGCGUAGAGAUGUGGAGGAAUACCGGUGGCGAAGGCGGCAUCCUGGACCGGCAUUGACGCUGAGGAGCGAAAGCCAGGGGAGCAAACGGG